GUCAGUUGACGAGUCCCAAAUAGGACGAAACGCGCGUCGAACUGGAU
rnacentral:hammerhead_ribozyme from 1 species